CCUACGGGAGGCAGCAGUGGGGAAUUUUGGGCAAUGGGCGCAAGCCUGACCCAGCGACGCCGCGUGGGGGAUGAAGGCCCUCGGGUUGUAAACCCCUGUCAGGUGGGAAGAAAGCUCGAUAGGUUAAGAGCUCAUCGAGUCUGACGGUACCACCAGAGGAAGCCCCGGCUAACUCCGUGCCAGCAGCCGCGGUAAUACGGAGGGGGCAAGCGUUAUUCGGAUUUACUGGGCGUAAAGCGCACGUAGGCGGCGAGGUAAGUCAAAGGUGAAAGCCCUCGGCUCAACCGAGGAAUUGCCUUUGAAACUGCUUCGCUUGAGUCCGGGAGGGGGGAGCGGAAUUCCCAGUGUAGCGGUGAAAUGCGUAGAUACUGGGAGGAACACCGGUGGCGAAGGCGGCUCCCUGGACCGGUACUGACGCUGAGGUGCGAAAGCGUGGGUAGCAAACAGGAUUAGAUACCCUGGUAGUCCACGCCGUAAACGAUGGGCACUAGGUGCAGCGGGUGUCGACCCCUGCUGUGCCGAAGCUAACGCAUUAAGUGCCCCGCCUGGGGAGUACGGUCGCAAGGCUGAAACUCAAAUGAAUUGACGG
rnacentral:rRNA from 1 species